AUAUAUGUCUUAUUCUUGUAGAAAAGGAAAAAAGAGAACAAAAUGAAGAAAAAGAAAGAAAAGAAGAAAAAGAGAGAGAAAACAGGACCUGUCCAGCUUUCCAAGUUCUUCAAAAACAAAAAGAAGAAUGAAAACUACAGCAUGAUAACCGGAAAGAAAAUUAAGAUGAAAAUUAAGAAGACUAAGGAAGAUAUAGAGAGAGACCGGAACCGUGCGCAGCUCCUGGAAUUUCUGAACUCUGCCUUGUAAUGGGAAGAGUGCUGGCCAAGGACUUGUAGAUAUACCAAGUCAAUGAUCAUCAUGCCUAGCAAAACACUAAAGGGAAACUCAGGGAAAAGGAUGCCAAGUUUGACAAGACCAGACCCUCCUGCUGAGAAGACAAUCGGGAUGUCCUUUUUUAAUGGCAAAAUGAAGAGUAGCUAAUAACUUGCUAAUGAAGAUCCAUGUCCUCCUUUUGAGAUCCUAAGGUAAUAGCCAGGCUGUGGUGUUUUAGAAAAGCCCAGGAGUGUGUCAUUGACAAUGAUAAGAAAUGACACACUGAAGUCAAAUAAUGUAAUUUCUAUCCUAACUGCAUGCAGAAUGCACUCUUAAUUUCAAAUGUCUUAAUUUUUCUAGUAGUUUAACCAGAGUAUUUGUAAAUGUCUGUUUGAAAGAUGAGGUGUUUCUUAUAUGUAUAUUUUUUUUCUGGUAGUGGUUAUACUUGUCCUAAAGAGCAAAAUGACCUCUGUAAAUAGAACAUGCUUUUACAUAAAUGAUUUUUUUGAAAGUUCACUAACUAAUAUAUUACUUUCUUUCAGAGUUUGAGAUAGGAUCUUUCUCUGGACAGUUUAUUGCUCUCUCUCACUAGAAAAUGUAAAAGCAAAAUACUCUAGAGCAAUAAUGGUAGCGAAUGAUUUGUAUCCUAAAAUAGAAGCGGAAAAGGUCUGUGAUUUUGUUUGUUUAUCUCAAUCAGCUGUUCAAAGGCAGCUCACAAUAAAUAGUUUACCCCCCCCCAUCUGGAGUUUGCAGUUCCUAGACCUAAAAACUCUGGAGUUCUGGCCUGCCUUUCUGAUCCUGUGAGUUGUGUAUCAAAUCUUUCUCUGUCUGAAGUGAAGCAAGACACAUACGACGUACCUUACCCUAAUGGAGAAAGAGCUGCAGGAAUAAAUCAGAGGCAGGCAGUGCCAGUGACUCUCUGGAUAUGUUGACAGCCCGCUGUGAGAUGAGACAGAGCUUGACUUUCGAUCAGCCAGCAGGCCCCUGUGUACAUAACACCAAUGUGGGAGUCCCACUUGAAUCGCUUGCGAAGCAAGUGCUUCCCAGGAACUGCCGUUUAGGAAUGCCUGAAAAAAAGAAGUCAAGAGUAGUUGACUUUGACAAGAGCAUCAGGUCUACAGCGGUCAGA